rnacentral:rRNA from 1 species
CUUCAACGGAGAGUUUGAUCCUGGCUCAGGAUGAACGCUGGCGGCGUGCUUAACACAUGCAAGUCGAACGAUGAUCCGGUGCU